rnacentral:tRNA from 1 species
AGUUGCUCCUGGGGAUAAUUUGUCUUGAAAACAAAUUUAAAGUGUUCAAUUCACUUAGUAACUU